CUACGGGUGGCUGCAGUGGGGAAUUUUGGACAAUGGGGGCAACCCUGAUCCAGCCAUUCCGCGUGAGUGAAGAAGGCCUUCGGGUUGUAAAGCUCUUUCGGCAGGAACGAAACGGUGGAGGCUAAUACCUUUCAUCAAUGACGGUACCUGAAGAAGAAGCACCGGCUAACUACGUGCCAGCAGCCGCGGUAAUACGUAGGGUGCGAGCGUUAAUCGGAAUUACUGGGCGUAAAGCGUGCGCAGGCGGUUCUAUAAGGCAGAUGUGAAAUCCCCGGGCUUAACCUGGGAACUGCGUUUGUGACUGUAGGACUCGAGUGUGGCAGAGGGGGGUGGAAUUCCACGUGUAGCAGUGAAAUGCGUAGAGAUGUGGAGGAACACCGAUGGCGAAGGCAGCCCCCUGGGUUAACACUGACGCUCAUGCACGAAAGCGUGGGGAGCAAACAGGAUUAGAUACCCCUGUAGUC
rnacentral:rRNA from 1 species